GCCAGAACGUAGAAUGGGUCCUGGUCUUUCUCUUACAUAACAUAACAUAACAUUCCAAGAUGCCAGGGACGUAGAAUGGGUCUUCCUGGACUUUCUCUUACAUAGUGCCAGGGACGUAGAAUGGGUCUUCCUGGACUUCCAUACCGUAUCAUCAUCACAUCAUGACAUAACAUACAAGGGCUAAUGGAUCACUCAACAUUCAUCCACAUCAACAACAUAAUAUG
rnacentral:lncRNA from 1 species